rnacentral:rRNA from 1 species
GAUCCUGGCUCAGGAUGAACGCUAGCGGCAGGCUUAACACAUGCAAGUCGAGGGGCAGCGCGGAGUAGCAAUACUCUGGCGGCGACCGGCGGAAGGGUGCGUAACACGUGAGCGACUUGCCCGUCACAGGGAGAUAACCGCUGGAAACGGCGACUAAUAUCCCAUAUGAUGGCGAUCUGCAUGGAUUGUCAUUGAAAGAUUCAUCGGUGACGGAUAGGCUCGG